rnacentral:tRNA from 1 species
UUUUGAGUGGCCGAGUUUAGGCAGUAGAUUUUUAAUCUUAGUACGGGCGUGAGCCCCUUAUUGCGUU